rnacentral:rRNA from 1 species
GAUGAACGCUGGCGGCGUGCUUAACACAUGCAAGUCGAACGGAAAGGCCCUGCUUUUGUGGGUUGCUCGAGUGGCGAACGGGUGAGUAACACGUGAGUAACCUGCCCUUGACUUUGGGAUAACUUCAGGAAACUGGGGCUAAUACCGGAUAGGAGCUCCUGCUGCAUGGUGGGGGUUGGAGAGUUUCGGCGGUUGGGGAUGGACUCGCGGCUUAUCAGCUUGUUGGUGUGGUAGUGGUUUACAAAGGCUUUGACGGGUAGCCGGCGUGAGAGGGUGACCGGCCACAUUGGUCCUGAGAUACGGCCCAGACUCCUACGGGAGGCAGCAGUGGGGAAUAUUGCACAAUGGGCGGAAGCCUGAUGCAGCAACGCCGCGUGCGGGAUGACGUCCUUCGAGUUGUAAACAGCUUUGGCCGGUGACGAAGCGGGAGUGGCGGUAAUGGGUAAAGAAGCACCGGCUAACUACGUG